GUCAAGCUAACAAGACAUACAGAACAUUUCAACGUGAUUAACAUUCUGCGUACAACACAAAGCAAAUUUAAUUCCAUCCAUUUGCUACAUUUAUUCGAACCGAUUUUGUGUUUUUCUGCUGACCGUGCAACACACACAAAGCAAGUGAGUAUUGUUAUUGUUUCGUAAGUGCUUCCAUGCGGUUCGCAAAUACACUGUUGGUGGGUCUUAUUGCAUAUGCGUGUGUGGGUAAAAUACAUAGUUUAAGAUGUA